rnacentral:rRNA from 1 species
AAUCAACGCUGGCGGCGUGCCUAACACAUGCAAGUCGAACGCGAAAGCCCCGCAAGGGGUCAGUAGAGUGGCAAACGGGUGAGUAACACGUGGGUGACCUGCCUUCGAGUGGGGGAUAACGUCCCGAAGGGGACGCUAAUACCGCAUGACAUCCUGCUUUUGAAAAAGCGGAGAUCAAAGCUGGGGAUCGCAAGACCUAGCGCUUGAAGAGGGGCCCGCGCCUGAUUAGCUAGUUGGUGAGGUAACGGCUCACCAAGGCGACGAUCAGUAUCCGGCCUGAGAGGGCGGACGGACACACUGGGACUGAGACACGGCCCAGACUCCUACGGGAGGCAGCAGUGGGGAAUUGUUCGCAAUGGGCGCAAGCCUGACGACGCAACGCCGCGUGGAGGACGAAGAUCUUCGGGUCGUAAACUCCUGUCGAGCGGGACGAACGCUUCGCGGAUGAAUAAUCCGCGGAAUUGACGGUACCGCUAAAGGAAGCCCCGGCUAACUCCGUG